CAGGCCUGAGUCGGAGCACUUCGUUGAUGAGCGCAGUUAGGACAGGAAGUUUGUGCCUCUCGCUAUAUUUGGGAUAGUGACCCUCUGGUACAGUGCACAGCUCCUCAUACACCUGAUUCUGGACCUGAUGAGUACAGCAGAGGAGCGAAGAUGCAACCCUUGCUUUUCAAUCAACCCAUGCAACGAAUCAUGGCAGCAUCGCAGCAAAGCGCCAUGGACCAGGCGGCGAUGGGCUCGCCACUCAUUGUUGUAGUCUCCCAGAGAAAUUGAGCGCCCUCCCCCAGACACGACAUCUCCUGUGAAAGAGGCUGACGUAGGACAAGAGGAAGGGGGACAUCCUGAACUGGUUGCCACUCUCUCACAGGGCGCAUUGCGACAAACAACCAUUUUCACCUUUGGACAAGUUAGAGUCUUCAGUUAAAAUAAAAUGCACAUUUUGGAAAUAUAGCUGAUAACCAGAGUAUCCUAAAAAUAAGGACGGAGAUGCUCUAAGCAAGAUUUGAGCUCGGAUCUCUUGACUGUGAGGCAGAUAUGCCAACCACUAUAGCGUUCACCU